rnacentral:rRNA from 1 species
UACGUAGGGUGCGAGCGUUGUCCGGAAUUAUUGGGCGUAAAGAGCUUGUAGACGGUUUGUCGCGUCUGCCGUGAAAAUCCGGGGCUCAACCCCGGACUUGCGGUGGGUACGGGCAGACUAGAGUGUGGUAGGGGAGACUGGAAUUCCUGGUGUAGCGGUGAAAUGCGCAGAUAUCAGGAGGAACACCGAUGGCGAAGGUAGGUCUCUGGGCCACUACUGACGCUGAGAAGCGAAAGCGUGGGGAGCGAACAGG